AUUAUAGUUUAUUGAUUUAUUUUGAAUUCGUUUUACAUAUAAAUUUUAGUGUUAUUUUUUAUUUUAAAAAUAAAUUAUAAUUAAGGUAGUAAUUAAUAUUAAAAUAUUUAAGAAAUUAAGAUUUAGUGAUAUUUUAAUUAAUAACAAAUUUUGUGCCAGCAGUUGCGGUUAAACAAAAGUUAAAUUAAAUUUUAUUAGUUUUUAAUUAGUAAUUUUUUUUUAAUUAAAAAUAUUGAAUUUUUAAGUGAAAUUUUAAUUUAAUUUAAUGUUAAUUUAAUAUUUAUGAUUUAAUAAAUUUAAUUAAAAACUAGGAUUAGAUACCCUAUUAUAGGAAUUUAAAUUAUUAAGGCUAAAUUAGUAAGUAAUUAUUUAUUGAAAUUUAAAUAAGAUGGCGGUAUUUUAGUUUAUUUAGAGGAAUCUGUUUAUUAAUUGAUAAUCCACGAAUAAAUUUACUUAAUUUAAAAUUUUGUAUAUCGUUGUUAUAAAAAUAUUUUUUAAUGAUAUAUAUAAUAUUUAAAAAUUUUUAUUAGAAAUUAAAUCAAAUCAAGAUGCAGAUUAUAGUUAAGAAUAUAAUGGAUUACAAUAAAUUUAUUUAAAUGAAUAUUUGUUUGAAAAGAUUAAUUUGAAAGUGGAUUUAAAUGUAAUUUUAUUUAAAUUAAUAAAAUGAUUUUCAAUUAAAAUAUGUACAUAUUGCCCGUCGCUUCUAUAUAAGAUAUUUAUUUAAAAUAUUAAAAUUAGAAUAAGUCGUAACAAAGUAGAGGUACUGGAAAGUGUUUCUAGAAAGA
rnacentral:ncRNA from 1 species